GUCUGAGGCUAUCUGCCCUGCCCCAUUCAGGGUAUAGCUACAGAAUAUAAAACUGCUAGCUGCAGUCUAAAAGGGGCUCCUCAGCAAUGGGGUGUCCCAUAACUGGUGCAGCAACUUUCAGAAGUUGUCCUGUUUGGUGCAGGGAACAAGGAUAUGGGGAGCUGGCACCUUUGGCCCAUCUUCCUCUUGCUGUCUAUGUAGGUAACAAUCUUAAAAGGACAUGUCAUUACUUUAGAAGCCAAAUCAAUCACUCUUGGGCUUGGCCUUUUUUUGACAAUGUGGUAGUUAUGUACAAGAGUGUCUUUGUUUUUGAGACUUGUACACUGGAGUGUUUAGGAGUGAUGGAACAUGUCUGCAACUUGGUCUCAAAUGGUUAAGAAAAAGCCAUAUGAUAAUGGUGGUGCACACACGUAGGCAUGCACACUGCAGAAAUGUGAAGUGUUAUCAAUUGAACAAUCUGGAUGAAGUGAACAUGGGAGUUCUUUGUACUAUUCCUCCAACUUUUUGGUAAGUUCAUAACAAGUUACUUUUUAAAAUCUACUGAGCUUAAGGCCAGGGGGGAGUCUUAUUUUUCACUUUGAACUCUUCUGUAAAUUGUUUUUUGAAUUUCUACAAUGACUAUUUAUUACUUUCUUAAUAUAAAAUUAAAAUGUCCAAUUUUUAAAAUCACAAAAUAUAAUAAAGGAAACUUGAAAAAUGUGAAGA